rnacentral:rRNA from 1 species
AUUGAACGCUGGCGGCAGGCCUAACACAUGCAAGUCGAACGAGUGGCGGACGGGUGAGUAAUGUCUGGGAAACUGCCUGAUGGAGGGGGAUAACUACUGGAAACGGUAGCUAAUACCGCAUACCAUCGGAUGUGCCCCGAUGGGAUUAGCUAGUAGGUGGGGUAAAGGCUCACCUAGGCGACGACCCCUAGCUGGUCUGAGAGGAGGACCAGCAACACUGGAACUGAGACACGGUCCAGACACCUACGGAGGGCAGAAGUGGGGAAUAUUUGACAAUGGGGUCAAGCCUGAUGCAGCAAUGCCGCGUGUAUGAAGAAGGCCUUCGGGUGGUAAAGUACUUUCAGCGGGGAGGCGUUACCCGCAGAAGAAGCACAGGCUAACUCCGUGCCAGCAGCCGCGGUAAUUC